UCGUAUUAGAGGGUCCACGUGGGAAUAUUUCAUCCUAACACGUGUCCCCUUGCUGCUUGUCUCCACUGAAGAACUCUCCCUACCCCCACACUCUAAAAAAACACACACGGCAACAUGAAUUCUGCAGCAGUUCGGGACACCUAGAAGUCUUUACCAUGGAUUGUCCUAUGAUAGGCGCUGCAAGCUGUUCUCUUGACAGCCAUGGUUGGUUUCCAAGGCAUUCAAAAAAGUUUAAUUUGGAGAAUAUCCACAGACUUCCAUGUAAUAUGGCAGCGUGGAGUUCGAGGACGAGAUCUCAAGGUUAAGUUACCCAAAUCAAGCUUCUGUUGGAAAGAAAUCGGUGCGUUGUGUGUCUUGGAGAACAUUUUCCUCACCUUCAAGUCUGGAGGAGGAAUUAUCAUCGCCAGUAGAAUAUUACUCGAUUGAUGAUGAGUAUACCGCUGAGGCUCUCUCUGAGGAGCUUCUAGAACGACCUUUGAAAAAUGACGUGGUAAGCUCAUUCUUCACCUGCCAUUAAAUACCUCUAUAUACUAUGCUGAGAAGAGAGUAUGUUAUUUCUUUCACCAUCUAAUUUCUUUUUUCUACUUUAUUAAAAACAUUAUUACAUUGAUGUUCAGAUA